CCUCCCCGCCAAUAAGAGCGAGGGAGAGAGAAAGCGAAGGACAGAGAGAGACACCGGCUCCUGUUCGCUAGACUAGGAGAGGUGCUCCUUUGGCGCGCGGCGCGUGUGUGUGGGUGGGUGUGCGUGUGUGUAUGUAUGCAUGUGUGUGCGUGCGUGUGUAUAUUCCCCCCGACUGAAACUGUAAAGUUCACACCAGACGUGUUGCUCUCUCCGGUUGCCGGGGCUGCAGCUGAGGCCGCCCCAACUUCACUUAUCCAAGUGACUGUGUGCUUUGCCCGGAGUCUCCCGUGGUGUUGCUGCUGCUGCUGCUGCUGCUGCUGCUGCGGCGGCGGCUGCUGAUGCUGCUGCCCGCCCCUCCGGCCGGCAGUGGCAGAGGCGGCGUAGACCGCCGCCUCCUCCUCCCAGCACACCUUGGAGCGCGAGGAAGACUGGCUUGCAAGGGGGACCCCUUGCCAACCCCACCACUUGCACUUGCACCUGCACCUAACGACCACCUUUCAGGCACUUCCUCCCGGGCGGUGCCUGGACACGGCAGAAAGAACUGUAUGCAGUGAGAGCAGAUUGUGGAGAGAGAAAGAAUAAUUGAACAAUUACCCUCUGAAUUUUCUUCGGACGUGUAGAAUAUUCCUGCUGAAACACUAAGGCAACUUGGAGAAGCAGCUCACUGCUAAUUGCUGCUAGAAGUGUGACAUUCUUUCCCAAGGUAAGCACAUUUUGAGGUAAAUUAUAUUGAAAAUUAUCAUGGUUUUUGAUUCAUUGUUUUGAAAAGACUAUUUUAUGUUAAAGCCAAAGAGACUGCCAGUGCUGUUGUUCAAAACUGAGGAUAUGUCACAUUAAUUACUUUGAGUUCUAGCUAAAUGUUCAUGGAGCUGACAUUAAAACAUAUAGGACAAACUGGCACAUUUUUCUUUUGACUGAGAAUAACUAAUUAAUUUGGUGUUUUCAGAACUACCUGAUGAACAAAGUUAAAAAAAAAAAAUAAAGAAUGCAAUGCCGUCUGAUAAUAAUGCUGGUGAUUCAGGAUAAAACAUAU